UAGCCAAGACAAAAACUUAAAUUUUAUUGCCAUUUUCUGUAAUUUUCCAAGUCAAAAGGUUUUGUACUAUUUAAGUGUACACUUGCAAUGUCAAGGCAUACAUGGCUAUGGGAAGAAGUGCUGGAAAAUAAGAUUAGAAUAAUUAGGUGAGAUAACAAGGUAUAGAGCUAGAUCAACACAGCAGGCCAAGCACCAUCAGAGGAGCAGGAAAGCUGACGUUUCAGGUCUGGACCCUUCUUCAGAAGGUUGUUUUUGACUGACGCACGUUCCACAGGAUGAAGGACCUUUUUCUGUGUUGUAGACCUUUUUGAUCCUGUAAUGUACUUUUACAAAAACGUGAAUAAAGAAUAUUUUUGAAAAAAGAAGUCGUAGGAAAAUUGCUGGAAUCCAUUAUGAAGGAAACCUUAAUCAUACACUUCAAAAAUCAUAGUUGAAUCAAACAAUUUAUGAAAGGGAAAUGGUGGUUGGCAAAUUUAUUAAGACAUUUUCAGGAAGUAAUUAGUAAUACAGAUAAAGAAGAAUCAAUACAUGCAAUAUUUUACAGUUUCCAAAAUUCAAAAUGCACAGGCAUUGAGCUGAAGUCAUAUAUUAGCAGUAAUAGAUGCUUGGUUAAUGAGAGGAAAUAGAGAAUUGGAUAAGGAUAUUUCAAGUUGACAGGCUGUAACAAGUGCUGUGCUGGGAUACCAGCUUCUUGCAGUCUACAUUAAAUACUUGGACAGGGAGACCGAGAGUAAUAUAUUUAAGCCAUUGACAGUAUAAAAUUAGGUGGAAAUAGAAGUAUGGAGGAGGACAUAAAGAGGCUGCAAAGAUUAAAUGUAUAGGUAAUAAGGUAGCAGAUGGAGUAUGAUGUACAGAUGUAUGAGCUAUUCAUUUUGGUAAUAAGUUUUGUAAGUAUUUUUUAAAAUACGUAAAAUUUCAAAUUUUGAUUUCGUAACACUUGGGUACAAGACUAUAUGAAACAGGAACAGGAAUAGGUCUUUCACCCCUCAAACCUACUCUGCCAUUCAAUGGGAUCAUAGCUGAUCUGAUAUUCCCCACAUCCACUUUUCUACUCUUUCCCCAUAACCUUUGAUUCCCUUACUGAUCAGGAACCUAUCUAUCUCAGCCUUAAAUACAUUCAAGAACUCUGCUCCUCCAGCUCUCUGUGGCUAGAAGUUCCAAAGACUUGCAACCCUCUGAGAGAAGAGAUUUCUUCUCAUCUCAGCCUUAAAUUGGCAACUCUUUAGUUUGAGACAAUGCACUCUGCUCCUAGACAUUGCCAUAAGGGGAAACAUCCUUUCUGCAUUUACCUUGUCAAGCCCUGAGGAAUGGUAUAUGUUUCAAUGAGAUCACCUCUCACUCUUCUAAACUCCAGUGAGUGGACUCCUUAUCUGUUUAUCUUUUGCUCAUAUGACAAUCCAUCCACACCAGGGAUCAUCCUAGUGAACCUUCUCUGAACUGCUAACAAUUAAAUGUUGUCUUUCCUUAAAUAAGGGGACCAAAACUACUCACAGUACUCCAAAUGUAGUCUCACCAACAUCUCGUACAGUUGCAAUAAGACCUCCCUACUCUUAUACUCCAGCCCCCUUGAAAUAAGGGCUAACAUUCUAUUAGCCUUCCUAAUUACCUGUUGCACCUGUGUAAUUCUUUACUACAGGUGGUUGUUGAGGUACAAUCACUAAGGCGGAGAUAGGCAAAUUUGUAAUUCGUAAGGGAAUCAAGGUUUAUGGGGAAAAGGCAAGAGUUGAGGGUAUCAGAUAAGCCAGGAUCUCAUCGAUGGGUUGAAUGGCCUUAUCUUUUAUUACAUUUGGAUUGGGUUCCUAUAUUUAAGGAUAAACUUUGAUUGGAGACAGUAAAGCAGAUUCACUAGAUUGAUUUCUGUGAUGAGAGGGUCGUGUUGAAAAGCUGAGUCAUAUUCUCUGGAGUUCAGCAAAAUGAUGGGUGAUGAUGCAAGAUUUUUUUAGGGGUUGACAGUGUAGACACUGAAAAUGAUGUUUUAGCUGGUUGGGAAUCCAGAACAUUGGGUGGAUAAUUCAGAACUCAGACGGAACUCUGUACUCCGUACUCCACAGGGCAGAUGAGAUGGUCAAAUUUUUGGCCUCUGGGGGAAUCAAGGGAUAUGGCAAGCGGACAGGAAAGCAGACUUGAGGCAGUAGAUCAGCCAUAAUUAUAUUUAAUGGCAGAGCAGACUCAAGAAACAUUCUCCUGCUCCAUAUCGUACAUUCGAUCGGGGCCUGUUUUGUAAUCAAUUGGGCAUCAGUUGAACAUUUUGAUUUUUCUUCUGUUAUUCUACUUCCUGCCUUCAACCAGGCUAUAUCUUACACGAAGAUGUUUGCUGCCUUCUCUCCAGUCAGAUUCCAUGCUUAUUCUAUCACGUUAAUUCCCUGCAUGAUGCCUUUCAGAUUCUUCUCUCUUGCUCCAUGCCGUGGUUCUUUACAUUCUGGUCAAUUUCUUUUUCGUCGGGUUUGCUGCUCCAUUCGGUCGGGGUUUGUUCUCUGCCGAUAUUCUGCUGCGUUUGUCCGAGUCCUGGGGUAGUGGGCAGCCGCAGGUGUGAACGGAGCAGCCCGGGCCGCCAUCUUCCCGCUCCCCAGAUUCCGGCCGGACGGGAUUGACCGGCGCACACAGGAAGAUGGUGGCCCUCAGGGAAGUAGGAAGCAGCGGCCAAGGGACGAGGGAAAGAUAUACCAGGUUCCCAGAGAACGGCGGCUGCUUUCAAGAAUUGAAGUGCUCAGAUGACCGACAAGUGCAGAAAGUUGCGACUGUGUCGUGAGAUCUUCUGGAACUUGACAAGAGCUCUACAUUAUGAGAACAAAAAGCUGCACUUCUGAUGGAGCUGUAUCUUAGGAACGUAUACAAUUUGUAGCAUGGAAGCAGGCUAUUUGAUUGAAAUGAUACAUGCUCACAAAAGUCAUCUUCCCUUUUUAUUUAAUCCAGCUCUUUAACAUUGCCAUUUGUUCCUUUCUCCUUCAGUUAAGGCUGAGAAGCAUGCCGGUGCAGUUGAGGGAGGAUUGCACUUUUGGAAGUGCCAUUAUUUAGAUAAGAUAUAAACUCGGUGCUACCUGCU